AUUGAACUUGCGCAGGCCCAAACUGCAGUUCGAGCGGUGAGGAGACUUGCUCUCUGAUUUAGCGCCGACGGUUGAUAUUCUAGGAAUCUGCUUGGUAGUGGGGGUAACGUUCCGAAGGGAACGCUAUACGGCUACGUCUUACGGGAGAAGCAGGGGCUUUCGGCCUUUGCGUUAUCAGUGACUUAGUCGGAUUAGUUAGUUGUGGGAAAGGCUCACCAAGGCGACGACCCGUAACUGGUCUGAGAGGAUGAUCAGUCACACUGGAAUGAGACACGGUCCAGACUCCUACGGGAGGCAGCAGUGGGGAAUAUUGGACAAUGGGCGAAAGCCUGAUCCAGCCAUGCCGCGUGUGUGAAGAAGGUCUUCGGAUUGUAAAGCACUUUAAGUUGGGAGGAAGGGUUGUAACCUAAUACGUUGCAAUUUUGACGUUACCGACGAUAAGCACCGCUAAUC
rnacentral:rRNA from 1 species